rnacentral:rRNA from 1 species
UGUUUCGGCUAGGGGGCCAUCCCGGCUUACCAACCCGAUGCAAACUGCGAAUACCGGAGAAUGUUAUCACGGGAGACACACGGCGGGUGCUAACGUCCGUCGUGAAGAGGGAAACAACCCAGACCGCCAGCUAAGGUCCCAAAGUCAUGGUUAAGUGGGAAACGAUGUGGGAAGGCCCAGACAGCCAGGAUGUUGGCUUAGAAGCAGCCAUCAUUUAAAGAAAGCGUAAUAGCUCACUGGUCGAGUCGGCCUGCGCGGAAGAUGUAACGGGGCUAAACCAUGCACCGAAGCUGCGGCAGCGACACUA